GGAUGAACGCUAGCGGCAGGCUUAACACAUGCAAGUCGAGGGGUAUUUAUCUUCGGAUAGAGAGACCGGCGCACGGGUGCGUAACGCGUAUGCAAUCUACCUUUUACAGAGGGAUAGCCCAGAGAAAUUUGGAUUAAUACCUCAUAGUAUAUAGACUCGGCAUCGAGAUUAUAUUAAAGUCACAACGGUAAAAGAUGAGCAUGCGUCCCAUUAGCUAGUUGGUAAGGUAACGGCUUACCAAGGCUACGAUGGGUAGGGGUCCUGAGAGGGAGAUCCCCCACACUGGUACUGAGACACGGACCAGACUCCUACGGGAGGAAGCAGUGAGGAAGAUUGGACAAUGGGCGCAAGCCUGAUCCAGCCAUGCCGCGUGCAGGAUGACGGUCCUAUGGAUUGUAAACUGCUUUUAUACGAGAAGAAACACUGCUACGUGUAGCAGCUUGACGGUAGCGUAAGAAUAAGGAGCGGCUAACUCCGUG
rnacentral:rRNA from 1 species